rnacentral:lncRNA from 1 species
AAAGGGGUGGGAGAGUGGAUGAAGCCUCACAAUGAGCUAGCAAUGAUGGGUUCAAAUUUGCCUUUGACGAGAAUCGUAUCCAAAACUUCUCACUCACAAAUGAAACGAAAUACCAUUAAACAGUAGUAAUAAGUAGCAUGAGCUCUGACUUUUAAAAAAACGAGUGAACGUUUCAGUCUUAUGAACUAUGGUCCAUGGUCCUCAAAUUACAUCUAGGGACAAAACAAAUAUAUAAAUUAUAAAAUAAAAUAAAUCAAUGUUAGUCCCUUAACUUAAUGUUCAUGUCAGCAUACAUUAAUCACCUCAUAUACUAAUAUAUUUUGAGUUUAAUUUAUCUUCUACUUCUUAAAUUUUUAAUAUAAUAUUUUGAAACAUUUUGUGUUUUUUAUUUAGGUACAUUAAUUUAUUUAAUAUAUUUUGGUAUAUCAUAUUCAGUAUAGAUAUAUAGGUAGAUUAACUUAAUAUAAUACAUUUCAAUACACAUAUUUAGAUCAGAGUCGACGUUGAGGGGGAGCUACCUGUUCCAUGGCAAAGGGCUCCAAAAUUUAAGGGCCUCCAAAAUAGUUUUCUAUCUAAUCGGGUAUCCUAUGAAAUAAUAUUAUAUUAUUUAUAUACAUAAAAAUACUAAUCAAAACCAAAGAAAAUAUAUACAAAUCCUAGUGGCCCCAUAAGCCACAAGCUACAUGAAUGCCUAUAUAAGCCACCAAAUAGUAAGAAAUUUUAUAAAAAUCAUAAAAUAAUGAUAUUCCUCACAAUGUUUCUCAAUUCUCACUCUAAGAGUUAUGGUCCAGAUGCCCCCUCUCCUGCUUCU